rnacentral:rRNA from 1 species
GGACGAAAGUCUGACGGAGCAACGCCGCGUGAGUGAUGAAGGUUUUCGGAUCGUAAAGCUCUGUUGUUAGGGAAGAACAAGUGCGAGAGUAACUGCUCGCACCUUGACGGUACCUAACCAGAAAGCCACGGCUAACUACGUGCCAGCAGCCGCGGUAAUACGUAGGUGGCAAGCGUUGUCCGGAAUUAUUGGGCGUAAAGGGCUCGCAGGCGGUUUCUUAAGUCUGAUGUGAAAGCCCUCGGCUCAACCGGGGAGGGUCAUUGGAAACUGGGAAACUUGAGUGCAGAAGAGGAGAGUGGAAUUCCACGUGUAGCGGUGAAAUGCGUAGAGAUGUGGAGGAACACCAGUGGCGAAGGCGACUCUCUGGUCUGUAACUGACGCUGAGGAGCGAAAGCGUGGGGAGCGAACAGGAUUAGAUACCCUGGUAGUCCACGCCGUAAACGAUGAGUGCUAAGUGUUAGGGGGUUUCCGCCCCUUAGUGCUGCAGCUAACGCAUUAAGCACUCCGCCUGGGGAGUACGGUCGCAAGACUGAAACU